rnacentral:rRNA from 1 species
GAGACCAAGGAGCUGGUAUCAGGCACACUUAAACGUAGCCCACGACGCCUUGCUUAGCCACACCCCCAAGGGAAUCCAGCAGUGAUAGAUUUUAAGCCAUAAGUGAAAACUUGACUUAGUUAAUGCUAGCAAGAGCCGGUAAAACUCGUGCCAGCCACCGCGGUUAUACGAGAGACUCAAGUUGACAGUCAUCGGCGUAAAGAGUGGUUAAGAUGUAUAAAAACUAGAGCUAAAUACCCUCAAAGCUGUUAUACGCUCUCGAAGGUAAGAAGCCCAACUACGAAAGUGGCUCUAUUAUAUCUGAUUCCACGAAAGCUAGGGCACAAACUGGGAUUAGAUACCCCACUAUGCCUAGCCCUAAACAUUGACAGUUAAUUACACCCACUGUCCGCCUGGGAACUACGAGCACCAGCUUAAAACCCAAAGGACUUGGCGGUGCUUUAGACCCACCUAGAGGAGCCUGUUCUAGAACCGAUAAUCCCCGUUAAACCUCACCCUUCCUUGUCAUUUCC